rnacentral:misc_RNA from 1 species
UUUCCGUAGGUGAACCUGCGGAAGGAUCAUUAUUGUAUAACCGAGAUGAGAGGGCUGUCGCUGACUCGAGAGAUCGUGCACGCCCGAGUGCCCUCACACACAUCCAUCUCACCCCUAUGUGCACCUCCACGUGGGUCCCCCUUUGGCUUGUUCGGACGGGGGCUUACGUUUGCAAACAAACUUUGUAUGCAGUGUAGAAUGUAUUAUUUGUUUUUGCGAUCACGCAACCAAUACAACUUUCAACAACGGAUCUCUUGGCUCUC